rnacentral:rRNA from 1 species
GACGAACGCUGGCGGCGUGCUUAACACAUGCAAGUCGAACGGGCCUGUCUUCUUUUUUGGGGGUGGGUUGAGUGGCGAACGGGUGAGUAUCACGUGAGUAACCUGCCCUUCGGUCCUGGAUAACCGCUUGAAAGGGCGGCUAAUACGGGGUGGUCCGGUUGGUCCGCAUGGGCUGGUCGGGAUAGAUUCACUGUUUUUGGUGUUUCGGCGGGGGAUGGGCUCGCGGCCUAUCAGCUUGUUGGUGGGGUGAUGGCCUACCAAGGCGGUGACGGGUAGCCGGCCUGAGAGGGUGGGCGGCCACACUGGGACUGAGAUACGGCCCAGACUCCUGCGGGAGGCAGCAGUGGGGGGUAGUGCACAAUGGGCGGAAGCCUGAUGCAGCGACGUCGCGUGAGGGAUGGAGGCCUUCGGGCUGUGAACCUCUGUUUCCGGUGGUGAAGGCCCUGUCCGUGUGGUGGGGUUGACGGUAGCCGGGGAUGAAGCGCCGGCUAACUACGUG